GACGAACGCUGGCGGCGUGCUUAACACAUGCAAGUCGAGCGGAAAGGCCCUGCUUUUGUGGGGUGCGCGAGUGGCGAACGGGUGAGUAACACGUGAGUAACCUGCCCUUGACUUUGGGAUAACUUCAGGAAACUGGGGCUAAUACCGGAUAGGAGCUCCUGCUGCAUGGUGGGGGUUGGAGAGUUUCGGCGGUUGGGGAUGGACUCGCGGGUUAUCAGCUUGUUGGUGGGGUAGUGGCUUACCAAGGCUUUGACGGGUAGCCGGCCUGGGAGGGUGACCGGCCACAUUGGGACUAAGAUACGGCCCAGACUCCUACGGGCGGCAGUGGUGGGGAACAUUGCACAAUGGGCGGAAGCCUGAUGCAGCAACCCCGCGUGCGUGAUGACGGCCUUCGGGUUGUAAACCGCUUUCGCCGGUGACGAAGCGUGAGUGACGGUAAUGGGUAAAGAAGCACCGGCUAACUACGUG
rnacentral:rRNA from 1 species